rnacentral:rRNA from 1 species
UACAGAGGGUGCAAGCGUUGUUCGGAAUUAUUGGGCGUAAAGGGCGCGUAGGCGGUGCCACAAGUCACCUGUGAAAUCUCCGGGCUUAACUCGGAGCCUGCAGGCGAAACUGUGGUGCUGGAGUGUGGGAGAGGUGCGUGGAAUUCCCGGUGUGGGCGGUGAAAUGCGUAGAUAUCGGGGAGGAACACCUGUGGCGAAAGCGGCGCACUGGACCAUAACUGACGCUGGAUGCGCGAAAAGCUAGGGGGAGCAAACAGG